rnacentral:lncRNA from 1 species
GGGAGAAACCAGGCUCAGUCGGGGGGCCAGUUUUCCUCUGACCAGACGAAACCAGCAGUUCAGUUCCAGGCUGCAGCAAAGUCAAGGUUGUGCAGAAGAAUCAUCUGUUCCUGUGGUCUUGUCCCGGUGGUCGUCUGAGACAAGGUCUUUACAGGGGAUCUGUCUCUGGGGCUCUAGUCCUGGUCUCCGCUGUCUUUCAGGGCUUAGGGUUAGGGCUUUCUGGUGGCCACGGUGACCUCGGAAUAAGAGAGAAACAGACUAAUAUGAGCGUAGAUGCCAUUCUUCUAACGAUGUAGCAAGUACAUCGGGUGUUAUGGGAAGUGUUCCCGGUUCCGGUUUACCUAAUUAAUGCAGCCUAAAAAUCCUUUAACGGAUUUGGAUAUUAGAAGUGUAUUAGUAUGUUAUGUGUAAGCCAGGUUAAAGAGAUGGGUCUUUAAUCUAGAUUUAAACUGCAAGAGUGUAUCUGCCUCCCGAACAAUGUUAGGUAGGUUAUUCCAGAGUUUGGGCGCUAAAUAGGAGAAGGAUCUGCCGCCCGCAGUUGACUUUGAUAUUCUAGGUAUUAUCAAAUUGACCUAGAGUUUUGAGUAACGGAGCGGACGUGGAGGACUAACAAAAUCCAGUGGGCUGCAACAAGUACCACAGGCUCCUAUUGGUUGUUUUUUCCUUCUCUCUCUUUGCAGCUGUGUUAGGUUUGGGGGUCUAUUCCCACCUGCAAAAGACCGCAGAACCCUGGAUGUCACAAUGGAAAUCAGUUGCUCCUCCUUGCCUUUCUCCUGCCUGUAUAAGAGCAUCAGAGCAUUUUUCUGCUGCCAUGGACCCCUUUUCUCACCCCUGUGACUACUUCCUGUUUGCCUGUGGCACAGGUGGAUCUUCCACCAGUGAUCGAAGACACAGAGUCAAGGAGAUCUCAGAUGAAGACAAUGAAGAACUGGACAAAAAAAGGGAAGUGAGGAUGAGAAGAGAGCAAGAUGUUCAAGGAAACAGUGAUGGAUGGCCAGUCAAAUUUCCAGACAGAAAGACUGCUUUACUGAAACUAUUAAGGAAAUAUUAGGUUAGUGAAAUGUCACCUUUUUCUUUUUUUUUUUUUUUAACCUUGAAAUAGAACAAAUGACAGUUUCAUAGUGUCUUCAGGUUCCAUAUCUGCUUCUAUCUGUCUGUCUUUCUGAGCCUAAGCUGGUUUGCUGGUCUUCUAGAUGGUCAGACUGGUCUGUUGGUUUUAAAGGGGUCUGGGGCACUUUUUUCCUGUCAGGCUGGGGAAAAAAGUUGCAUCUUUUCUUCCGUAUUGUGACAAACAUUUAAUCGGAUUAUCGGAUUGGAUGGAGGAAGUCGAUUGUAAGAAAGGUGUGGAGUUUAGGUUUACAAAAUGAUUGGAGAAAUCUGGUAUACGUCACCAGAGAGAAGUCUGUUGUUUGACUGGAAGAGUGAGUGAUGGCAUUUUGAUUAAAAUUUACAAUAAAAUGCUUACAAUAAUUACAAAAAUUAUAAUAUUAAAUAUAGCUGCAAGCAGCGAUUACCGGGGUUCAAGCUCUUAAAGCAUUUAAGCAUAUAAGGAAAAAGACAUUACAUUUUAUUAAGGAAGGCUGUACCUACGUAAAUCAAUGAUUAAAAAAACAUUUUGGGCAAAUCGAGAAUAUGAAAUAUGAUGUUUUUUUUAGCGUUUAUGACUGUUAUAGCACCAGAUGUGGUCCGAUCCCCGUAAACCUGUCGCAUGUGUUCAGCAGGUUUCAUGAAGUUUUGAGUUUUCCUUUAGGCUUUUAAGGAUUUUGGGUAAAUUUGGAUAUUUAAAUUUGAAUUCUAGGAUUUUGGGUGUUUUUUUUUCUUUUUUUGAUUGAGCGAAAAACCUUUGACUAGUUUGCAAAAGUAGGAUUUUUACUUCUUCUCAAUCAUUUAACAAACAAUUUGAUUGACAGUGGUUUUCGAGGCAAAGUUGUCCAGAAUUCAAUUCAGUUCAAGUUUAUUUGUAUGGCGCUUUUCAAGAUACAAAUCGUUGCAGAGCAGCUUUACAGAAAAUUAAGUUUCUACAAUGUAUUUAGUAGUAGCUUAUCAGUGGUGACUAUGUCAAACUGAUGUGCAUAUGGCAGAAAUGUAUGGUAAACUGCAGGUAAUGACGUAAUCAAACAGACGAUGAACAUUUUUAACAGUAAAUGAUUAUAUGUUGCAAUCAAACUUGUAGCAAAAUUUGGUAGUUCAUGUUGUUUCAGGGUUGGCAUCAUCUGAGGUCCUCUGAGGGGUUUGCAUCAUCUCUUCUCAGAUGUUCGGUCAUCUCAGGUCUUUGUAAGGGCUGGAACCAGACUGAAGCUUGUGUAAUUUCUAGUUACCACAGAAUGACAAUCCCGUGUCAGAAACAGUGAAACAAAUAGAGACACACUGAACAAAAUUAUAAACGCAACAUUUUUGUUUUUGCCCCCAUUUUUCAUGAGCUGAACUCAAACUUAGGGUUAGGAGUCAAAAUCUCGAACCAUUAGGCCACGACUUCCCCAAC